GCCCUAGUAGCUUAGUCUCCUCUAUCCCCAAAGCACUGGUCUUGUAAUCCAGAGAACGGAGAAGCAGCUCUCUCCCUAGAGCA
rnacentral:tRNA from 1 species